rnacentral:misc_RNA from 1 species
AUGAAAUUCUUCCCGGUCAAUCCGAUAUCAAAAACUGCCUCCAGUUUGAGCGAUUGGGGCAUAUUUAAGUCAUCCGAAGAAAUUAGAGAAACUAUCUUUUGCUUGACAAUACUGUUAAAGCUGGCUGCCUUCUCGUCCUCGUGAUACUUAUUGACAAACAAGCUAAUCUCCACUAAUGCUUUCAGUGCUGCCUUCCAUAGAAACUUCUUGUUGAAUUCAGAUUCAAUAAUUGACGUCAAAGUCAGCAAGAUAUUCUCAUACAUGAGCUUUGAGACAGAAAUAAAGCUUCCAGGAAAUGUAGCCAAGAUCUCCAAACCUUUAACUGCUGCGUAAACAUAAGCAUUCCGAGUGCUUUCAACACAACUUGCUCGAAUGAGACAAAAGAAAACAUUACAUAAUG